rnacentral:rRNA from 1 species
GUGUCUUGGGGUCAAGCAGCCCCCCGAGGAUGAGUGAUGCGGAUCCUCUUCUGGAACAUCCGCGGUUUCGGUCAAGAUGGCCGACGCCGCCAACUAAUCGAAUACAUGCGAACUGAGCGAAUCGACAUUGUGGCCAUUCAAGAAACCAUGCGUACGGAAUUUUCCGUGUCGGAGCUCGAGCACUUGAGCUCCGACCUAUUUGCUUGGCACUGGCUCCCUUCAAGUGGGAGUGCGGGCCACUCGGGUGGCAUCCUCCUAGGGGUGAAGGAUGCCACCUUUGAGGUAGGCAGC